UCGCAUAUUUAUUUAAUUUAGCAUUCAAAGCAUUUUUGCGAGCAUUUAGUCAGCAAACCCUGAAGAAUUAUUACAGUUUUCAUAGUAUAACCCGGAAGACUUUAUUUUAUUAUAUUUAAUUUCUCCACCAAAUUUCCCACAUCUACCUACUCUUCCACCUACUCCCUCCUUUUUGAAAAGUUAUCAUCACUACCCACUCCCACCACCAACUCCCUGCAAAAAUCAUGCAGUAGCACACCCACUGAUAUACUUCACCCAUCCCCUUCCACUUCUACUCAAUCUCCCACCCACUUCUCACAAAUCCCUCGCAAAAACGAAUGGAAACUCAACUUCAGGAGCAAGCUUUUUCAGAAUGUACAUCAAGCUCAUCUCCCUCACCUAUUUUCAGCACACACAAUUGAGCAUCCCUCUCGAUUAAGGUUUUUACUCUCCAAAUUCUAAGUUGUUUCAAAUUACGGAUUACACUUUCAUGUACCUCUUUCAUGACUUGUUUUAGACAAAGGCACCACAACAACCCAUCCACUGGACUGAAUAAAGAAAUGAACUUUACAUAUGCAUAUAUCUUUGUAUAUCUUCCCCUAUAUGUGUUUAAGCAAAAGUAUCAAAUGUUUUUACAAUUGAGAAUAAAGCAAUGAGAUAGAUAUUGAUAAACAAGCAUGCUUCAAACUUGAGUUUUGAGCUUUGUCGGGAGGUGGACGGAGGCACGGCACGGCAGCGGCGCUGCUGUCGCCCGGCCACGGUGAGAGAGAGGGAGCUAGGGCUCGGGCGCCGCUCUUCGCGGUGGGAUGUCGGGCCUGUUUCAGCCGAGAGAAGAGAGAACCGAGGGGUAGUGGUUGUCGCCGUUGCUCCGGCGAGCUCCAGCGGCCGUGAGAGCAGUCGAGAGGGAGACGAGCAGCGAGGAGGAGAGAGAACAAGGGGGGGUACAGAGAGCUUGAGGGCUGGGAAUCGGCGAUGGUGGCAGCGUAUGGCUGCUGCUAUCGGCCGGAGUUGGGAGAGGGCUCGACGGCUCUGCUGUCAUUCCGAGCGGGCUAGGCGAGAGACGAGCGAGGGAGAGGGAGCUGUGCAACGGCGGCUGUCGCUUUACCGGCGGCUGCUGCUGCGGCGCUGAGUAUGUGGGAGUGAGCGAAAAGCGAAAAAGAGAGGACGGGGAUGAGAGUCGAGGGUUCCAGAGGGGCUGCGCUCUCGCCGGUGACGGAGGCGGCGCUUCGCCGAAGAAGAAGGGAGGGGCGCCGCUUGAGAAUGCUGCUUCAUGUGUGUGUGAGCGGCUGAAAAGGGAGGAGAAGAAAAGGGAGUGGAGUGUAGGGUUGGGCUUUGGAGUGGGCUUGAGUGUUGGGCCGGGUUUUAAUUAGUGUUGGGCUGGGUUUUAAUUAGUUUUGGGCCGAGAUUUUUUUUUAUUUAUUCUGAUUGGGCCAUUUUCAUUUAAUCAACUGGGCCGAUUUUUAUUUAGUUAUUGGGUUGGGGUUAUUUAUUUCUUUUGUUGGGCUGCAUUUAAAAAAAAAAAUGGUUGGCCCUUGUAUUUUUUAUUUAUUUAAAUGAGCUAUGCAGAUUUUAUUUAAAUGAACUGCACUAUUUUAAUUAAUUAGACUUAUUAAGU
rnacentral:lncRNA from 1 species